rnacentral:lncRNA from 10 species
AAAAAAUUUUCAAUGAGUCUUACAAACUUAGAUGAUUAUUAGUUAAAGUCUAUAGAAAUAGUUAUACGUCAUGGACAUUAUAAUAAUUUUAAAUUUUCUUUAACGGAAGAACUUUCCCCUAAAGUUAAAUUUUGUUUUAGUUGCAAGACAAUAAAGCUAUCAAGAUUCAAUGGAUAAAUUUUGUAGAAUCAAAGAAGAGUGAAAGAUCUUAAGAGAACAUCUAGUUCAUGCACUGUUCUACAGAUAUGUUCUGCAGGACACAUUCACAGCAUUCCAAGAAGAUGAAAACCUAUUCUUGAAUUUUCUUGUUUCAUUUAGUAUUGUAUUCUAGAAUUUAAGAAAUGUUUAGCAAUAAAAGUUUUCUUAUGGCUAACCUUUGAUCCUUUGGGUAAUAAAUUAAACUAGUUUUUAAAAAUUUUUAUUUCAGCUGAGAUGGAAAAAUGGCUAACCAACAUCCCCUCUGCUACCAUUUUAUGUACAUGAACAGAGUACAUCAUUCUUCAUGCAGGCUUUUCUUCCGCAACAACUAACAGCUCUUGCUUUUUAGGAGGUUUGUGUGUGUGUGUGUAUGUGGUUACAUAUAACAUGAAAUUUACUAUUUUAACCAUUUUAAGUGCUUAAUUUCAUGGCAUUAAGUACAUUCACACUGUUCUGCUUGCAACACCACCAUCCACCUCCGUAACUUGUUCAUUGUUCCCAGUGGAAACUCUACCCAUUAAAUGUUAACUCACCAUUCCCUCCUCAUCCUAGUCCCUGGCAACUAUCAUUCUACUUUGUCUCUAUAAAUCUGACUAAGUACCUUAUAUAAGAGGAAUCAUACAAUAUGUGUCCUUUUGUGUCUGGCUUAUUUGACUAAGUGCAAUAUCCAUAAAUGUUCAUCUAUGUGUCAGAAUUUUCUUCCUUUUUAAGGCUGAAUGAUAUUUCAUUGUAUGAAUACACCACAUUUUGUCUAUCCAUUCCUCCAUUGAUGGACUCUUGCAUCUGUCUUUUGACUGUUGUGAAUGAUGACACUAUGAACAUUGUUGUACAGGUUCCUGCUUUCAGUUCUUCUGAGUAUGUAAAUAGAAGUAGAAUUCCUGGAUCACGCAAUAAUUGUGUUUAAUUUUUAUGAGGAGCUAUCAUACUGUUUUCCACAGUGACUAACAGCUGUUUUUGAAAUCAUAACCAUUAUAUUGUUUCCUACUAUUUAUUUGCUGAAUCUUUUUUCCCAGACUUUUUAGUGUUUCUCUUUAAAUGUGGUUUUCCAAACCAGAAAUCCCACAAAUGCCUGUACUGACCUCUAGGAUGAGGUGUGAUUUUUCCAUUCCUAGAUGCUGUCUUCUGUUAUACACACACAGGUUUUGUCCUUGUUUGUUAAAAUGCUCAAUCACAGUUUUGACUGGUUUCAAAAUAAAUUUUCCCCAACUUCCGCCCAUACUUGGUAUUUGAGCUUUUAUAUUAUCAAGACCAGGCAAUAACCCUUCCACCUACAUUCUCAAAUGGGGAUUGGAACACAAAUAAUUAACUCGGUAUUUAUAACCAUGGUCCUUUAUACAAUAAUGUGUAUGAGCAAGUAUCUGUUUGUGUGUAUAUCCUUUAAAUAAAAAUUUCCUUCCUCCAAACUAUUACUGAAUAGUUGCAUGUUAAUUUUUACGUAAUCCUCAAGAAGAGCCAUAUUGGGUGCUAAAAUAUGCUUUAAAGCUUUUUUAUUGGAAAACUGGUGACUCUAGUUUCCAAAAUCUGGCUUAUGAAUUAAUGAAGGCUAAACUGAAAUGAAAAUUGUUACCUAAUUCUCAUGAAUCUGACAUCUAUUUCCAGGGAAAAGAAGUUGUAAAUCUCGUAAAUGCCAUGGUAAAAAUACUGAGAAAAAGUUACCAUUCUUUAGUCUUACCAUUCUUAUUUUGAGACGUAUUUCUACUAGCCUUGUAGAGUUUAGAAUCCG